ensembl:lncRNA
CUAGACUUGAUCGUCGAAAAGCUGAGAAGGCUCUCCAGAAGGUGGACAGGAGGUUCCAGUUUCGAGAGGUUUCAGCGGGUACACAAAAAGAUGCACCAUAUUGUUUAAUAAUCCCCGGACUCUGCUACCUGUGGGACCUUGGGAAAGAAGAGGAGUGUAGCAAGAUGAGGAGCUACGUGAGGCUCCAGUAACCAUUGAUCCAGCAACAGGAUGUACCAAGCAUAGGUUUAAGCGCUUAGUUUUAGAUGUCGUUGGGUUUCCUACCUGCCUCUGGCAUUACUCCUUAGCUUUGUGUGCAUUCAGUUUAUAUGAACCUUCUUCUUCUUGGAUCAUGUUUGGAGUCUGCCUUCUGGCUUUUGAAGAGGAAAGAACCACUCCUAAUUUAUGCAAUGCAAUUUGGAGUUUCAAAUUCAAACAUAUGUUGCCAUACUUCUGCUUUGGAUGAAUGAAGCAAGUCUUCCUUUACCCUCUCCUUGCUUGUGAGGUGUCAGCCACACAGGACUGGAAACCAUGGAAAAUGCUGGGAUAGCAGCUGGAGCCAAACUUGCAGUAGUUCACUGCUAUCACUGACAGCUACAAGCAGGAACAACUGGGUACCUGAGGCUAACCGUAAGCCCCUCCUGAGGACAGUUUUGUUAACCAUCACAGGUAGUCAAAUAUUGCAAGUCAAUAUCUUCUGCCUUCUUCUGCAUCCAUCUCCAAUAACAG